GUGCUCGCCUCGGCAGCACAUAUACUAAAAUUGGACUGAUACAAAGAAGAUUAGUAUGGCCCCUGCACAAGGAUGACAUGCAAAUUCAUGAAGUGUUCAUAUUUUUG
rnacentral:snRNA from 1 species